rnacentral:tRNA from 1 species
GCCCUCGUAGCUCAGCUGGAUAGAGCACCGGACUUCUAAUCCGAUGGUCGCAGGUUCGAAUCCUGCCGGGGGCA